GGGAAACUGCCCGAUGGAGGGGGAUAACUACUGGAGACGGUAGCUAAUACCGCAUAACGUCGCAAGACCAAAGUGGGGGACCUUCGGGCCUCACACCAUCGGAUGUGCCCAGAUGGGAUUAGCUAGUAGGUGGGGUAAUGGCUCACCUAGGCGACGAUCCCUAGCUGGUCUGAGAGGAUGACCAGCCACACUGGAACUGAGACACGGUCCAGACUCCUACGGGAGGCAGCAGUGGGGAAUAUUGCACAAUGGGCGCAAGCCUGAUGCAGCCAUGCCGCGUGUAUGAAGAAGGCCUUCGGGUUGUAAAGUACUUUCAGCGGGGAGGAAGGCGGUGAAGUUAAUAGCUUCACCGAUUGACGUUACCCGCAGAAGAAGCACCGGCUAACUCCGUGCCAGCAGCCGCGGUAAUACGGAGGGUGCAAGCGUUAAUCGGAAUUACUGGGCGUAAAGCGCACGCAGGCGGUCUGUCAAGUCGGAUGUGAAAUCCCCGGGCUUAACCUGGGAACUGCAUUCGAAACUGGCAGGCUAGAGUCUUGUAGAGGGGGGUAGAAUUCCAGGU
rnacentral:rRNA from 1 species